UUCACUUUCAUUUCUUCACUUGCCGGGGCUCGUGACUUGUCGGAAAAGGGGGACGCGCGCGGCGCUGCAGUUUGGCGGCCCGUCCCCGCGCUGGAGCCCCGCGCUGCCGACGGCCGGCCACAGCCAGAAUCACUGUCCUAGUGUCCCUGCCGCGGAUUGGGCCCAGGGCUGCCCAGCUUGUCACCCAGGACUCUGCCAGGAGCAGCUGUCUCCAUGCAGCCUGUCCCCAGAGGAGCAGAGCAGGGAGCCCAGGCUGGGCGGGGAGCCCUGCAGGUGCCGGUUCGGUCGCCUUGUGCGAGACUAGAAUUAAGAAUUUAUGAGGACUACUGCACACAACACGUGCGUGCACGCUAUGGAGUGCAUCAGUGUCAGGCUUACGGCAUCGAUAUGGUAUGUCUGCAGGAUGUUAACACUGGAGGAGAAGUAAAGGCUGCAGCAGAGCUCCUGUACAUACAUUUCUUUGCAACUUCCUGUGACUAUGUAAUUCUUUCAAAAUAAAAAGUUCUUU